CGGGUGCACUGCGCAAACCCAGAAGUCUUUCCUUAAUUCCUGUUCGAGAAUGGAGUUGGACCCUGACGACAUCUUCAAAGAUGACGAAAACGAUUCCGAUUCUGAGUUCUAUCAGCAAAGAGAAUCCUCCAAAGAAUUCGUCGUCUACCUCGUCGAUGCUUCUCCCAAAAUGUUUAGCACCACUUGCCCUGGCGAAGAUCAAAAGAAUGAAACUCAUUUCCGCAUUGCUGUCAGUUGUAUAGCACAAUCUCUGAAGACUCAAAUCAUUAAUAGAUCAUAUGAUGAAGUUGCGAUCUGCUUCUUCAACACUGUAAGAUGCUGGUCUGAUGGUUGAAUAUGGUGAAAAUCUUGUUUUCUUGAAUAAUUCCAUUUUGGCAGGGC
rnacentral:misc_RNA from 1 species